CUUUAAUCCAUCUUGAAUUGAUUUUUGUAUAAGGUGUAAGGAAGGGAUCCAGUUUCAGCUUUCUACAUAUGGCUAGCCAGUUUUCCCAGCACCAUUUAUUAAAUAGGGAAUCCUUUCCCCAUUGCUUGUUUUUCUCAGUUUUGUCAAAGAUCAGAUAGUUGUAGAUAUGUGGCGUUAUUUCUGAGGGCUCUGUUCUGUUCCAUUGAUCUAUAUCUCU
rnacentral:lncRNA from 1 species